UACGUAGGGUGCAAGCGUUGUCCGGAAUUAUUGGGCGUAAAGAGCUCGUAGGCGGUUUGUUGCGUCGGCUGUGAAAUCCCGAGGCUCAACCUCGGGUCUGCAGUCGAUACGAGCAAACUAGAGUGUUGCAGGGGAGACUGGAAUUCCUGGUGUAGCGGUGAAAUGCGCAGAUAUCAGGAGGAACACCGGUGGCAAAGGCGGGUCUC
rnacentral:rRNA from 1 species